GGAAUAUUGGACAAUGGACGAAUGUCUGAUCCAGCCAUGCCGCGUGUAGGAAGAAUGCCCUCUGGGUUGUAAACUACUUUUAUAUGGGAAUAAACCCCCCGACGUGUCGGGGGCUGAAUGUACCAUACGAAUAAGCACCGGCUAACCCCGUGCCAGCAGCCGCGGUAAUACGGAGGGUGCAAGCGUUAUCCGGAUUUAUUGGGUUUAAAGGGUCCGUAGGUGGAAUUGUAAGUCAGUGGUGAAAUCUUCCGGCUUAACCGGAAAACUGCCAUUGAUACUGCAGUUCUUGAGUAUGCUCGAGGUAGGCGGAAUAUGUCAUGUAGCGGUGAAAUGCAUAGAUAUGACAUAGAACACCAAUAGCGAAGGCAGCUUACCAGAUCAUAACUGACACUGAGGGACGAAAGCGUGGGGAGCG
rnacentral:rRNA from 1 species